GUGAGUCAUCGAAUCUUUGAACGCACAUUGCGCCCCCUGGUAUUCCGGGGGGCAUGCCUGUUCGAGCGUCAUUUCAACCCUCAAGCCCGGCUUGUGUGAUGGACGAACGUCCUGCCUUUAGGGGCGGGACGCGUCCGAAAAGCAGUGGCUAGGCCGCGACUUCGGCGCCUGAGCGAAUGGGAUUUCCAGCGCUUCUAGGACCGACCGGCCCCUAGCCUCCAAACAAACACGUCCCUGACGGAACUUCUUAGGUUGACCUCGGAUAAUGGUAGGGAUAUCCGCUGAACUUAAGCAUAUCAAUAAGGCGAGG
rnacentral:rRNA from 1 species